UAAAAAUGGUUGAAAAAUUGACCAGAUUUGUACCUCUUGGCAAUUACUGAUUAUUCUGGUAGAUUUAUUUUUGGAGUCAUGAAAGCAGACUUUGUUCUGCAUCAUCUUUGAGAUCAAAUUUUGAACUGAAAAACUGUUCCAAGCUUUCAAAAGUGCAUAGCAUGCUUAUAUGAAGACACACCUUGUGGCUCAAUGGAACAUCAUCAGCUAAUGCAUCAAAGUACCCUCUCCACAACAAACAGGGCCUGCUGCAGCACAGCCAGGAGAAUUAACGUGUGCUCAUAGGAUUAACAUUUUGGAUUCAUUUGAGGGCUGGAAUGAAGUUGCUCUGGGUUUUGAAGGCUGUGAUCAUUGUGAUCAGCCAACUCCAACUACUGGAAGGAGGAGCAAAAGCAUCCCUGUCUGCAGACCAAAAGUGACACUAGAUCUACAUAGGAAAAACGGAGGAACUGCUGAAGCAGAAGGAACUAAAUCAGUAGAGCUGACAGCAAGAUGUGAUGGGGUGCUAGAUACAGUACCGAUUCCUGCACAAAUAACUUACAGAUUUGUAAGGGUAAGUGAAUUUAUGAACUACUUCCACAGCCACAUACGCAGAACAGUUUCUCUUUCUGCAAACCUCUGUUUUACAAACAGCCUUUCAUUUUUAAGUAAUUGUCUGCUUUGUACAGUUUUGGCAUGAUUCGAGCUCGCACUAAAUGGAAGCCAUAGUUAUUAUCUCAA